rnacentral:rRNA from 1 species
UACGUAGGGGGCAAGCGUUGUCCGGAAUCAUUGGGCGUAAAGCGCGUGUAGGCGGCCCGGUAAGUCCGCUGUGAAAGUCGGGGGCUCAACCCUCGGAUGCCGGUGGAUACUGUCGGGCUAGAGUGCGGGAGAGGCGAGUGGAAUUCCUGGUGUAGCGGUGAAAUGCGCAGAUAUCAGGAGGAACACCGGUGGCGAAGGCGGUUCUCUGGGCCUGUACUGACGCUGGAGGAACGAAAGCGUGGGGAGCGAACAGG